rnacentral:rRNA from 1 species
GAUGAACGCUGGCGGCGUGCCUAAUACAUGCAAGUCGAGCGAACGGACGAGAAGCUUGCUUCUCUGAUGUUAGCGGUGGACGGGUGAGUAACACGUGGAUAACCUACCUAUAAGACUGGGAUAACUUCGGGAAACCGUAGCUAAUACCGGAUAAUAUUUUGAACCGCAUGGUUCAAGAGUGAAAGACGGUCUUGCUGUCACUUAUAGAUGGAUCCGCGCUGCAUUAGCUAGUUGGUAAGGUAACGGCUUACCAAGGCAACGAUGCAUAGCCGACCUGAGAGGGUGAUCGGCCACACUGGAACUGAGACACGGUCCAGACUCCUACGGGAGGCAGCAGUAGGGAAUCUUCCGCAAUGGGCGAAAGCCUGACGGAGCAACGCCGCGUGAGUGAUGAAGGUCUUCGGAUCGUAAAACUCUGUUAUUAGGGAAGAACAUAUGUGUAAGUAACUGUGCACAUCUUGACGGUACCUAAUCAGAAAGCCACGGCUAACUACGUG